rnacentral:lncRNA from 13 species
AGUCUGUUAUUGGUGUAUAGGAAUGCUUGUGAUUUUUGCACAUUGAUUUUAUAUCCUGAGACUUUGCUGAAGUUGCUUAUCAGUUUCAGGAGUUUUUGGGCUGAGGCAAUGGGGUCUUCUAGGUAUACUAUCAUGUUGUCUGCAAAUAGAGACAAUUUGGCUUCCACCUUUCCUAUUUGAAUACCCUUUAUUUCUUUUUCUAGCCUGAUUGGCUAGAAUUUCCAGUACUUGGAGGUGUGAUAGUGCAGCAGCUCAGACAGGCAGCAUAAGUUAGUGGAAUCCUCGUGAAUUCCAAGCUUGAGAUUUUUAGAGAAUGCCUCAUAGAAUUUCUUAUAAUUCUCCUUGUCUUCCACCAGCUCAGAGAAGAGCUCAAGGCACUUCUUAACAAUGUUUUUGCAAAUGACUUUCAAGAUUUUGCUCUGCUGGAGCAUUUCUCAGGAGAUGUUCAGAGGCAAAUCCUCAGAGUCAACCACACCAUGGAUAAAGUUGAGAUACUCUGGUAUCAACUCAUCACAGCUGUCCAUGAUGAAUACACGAUAGACAUAGAGUUUGAUGUUGUUCUUCUUCUUCUUGUUCUCAAAAAGGUCAAAGGGAGCCCGAUGAGGAAUGAAUAGCAAUGCCCUGAAUUCCAACUGACCUUCUACAGAAAAGUGCUUGACUGCCAAGUGGUCUUCCCAGUCAUUGGUGAGGCUUUUGUAGAAUUCUCCAUACUCCUUUUGAGUGAUGUCAUCAGGGUUUCUAGUCCAAAUAGGCUUGGUCUUGUUGAGUUCUUCCUGAUCAAUGUAUUUCUCUUUAAUCUUCUUAGUUUUCUUCUUCUUAUCCUUACCACUGUCAUCCUCCUCGUCUGAACCCACAUCUUCAAUCUUGGGCUUUUCUUCAUCAUCUUUAUCUUCCUCUUCUUUCUCACCUUUCUCUUUGAUCUUCUUUAAGGUGGAGGAUCACUUUGGUACUCCUGCCAAUGGGCUCACCAUGGUCAGCACGCACAGUGAAGGAACCUCCAGCAGAAGACUCCCAGGCAUACUGUUCAUCAUCGUUGUGCUUUGUGAUCACAUCCACUUUCUCUGCCACCAGGUAGGCAGAAUAAAAGCCAACACCAAAUUGCCCAAUCAUGGAGAUGUCUGCACCAGCCUGAAGAGCCUCCAUGAAUGCUUUAGUACCAGACUUGGCAAAGGUUCCCAAAUUAUUUAUGAGAUCUGCUUUGGUCAUGCCAAUGCCUGUGUCUACCAAAGUCAAGGUACGUUCCUGAGGGUUGGGGAUGAUGUCAAUUUUCAGCUCUUUACCACUGUCCAACUUGGAAGGGUCUGUCAGGCUUUCACAGCGAAUCUUGUCCAAGGCAUCAGAAGCAUUAGAGAUCAACUCCCGAAGGAAAAUCUCCUUGUUGGAAUAGAAGGUAUUGAUGAUGAGAGACAUGAGUUGGGCAGUUUCUGCCUGAAAGGCAAAAGUCUCCACCUCCUCCUCUCCAUGGUGCACUUCCUCAGGCAUCUUGAAAAGAAAGGCUCACAGGUAUUAGAAAGCAAGGUUGGCUGGCUGUCCAACAUACACACGGCACAAGAGCAGCGCCGGAGUGACUCGAGAGACCAAUGUUAAGAGAUUUAACGAACUUUCUAUAUAUACAUGGAAUUAUGCAUUUCUAUAUUCUUCUCCUUCCCCAUUAUAAAAAAAAUAAUGAGCACUUUGGUAGGCCAAGGCAGGUCAGAUCAUGAGGUCAGGAGAUUGAGACCAUCCUGGCUAACAUGGUGAAACCAUGUUACUCUACUUAAAAUACAAAAAACCAUCUCUACUUAAAAUACAAAAAACUAGCUGGGCAUGGUGGCACACACCUGUAGUCUCAGCUACUCGAGAGGCUGAGGCAAGAGAAUCGCUUGAACCUGGGAGGUGGAAGUUGCAGUGAGCUGAGAUCGUGCCACUGCACUCCAGCCUGGGCAAGAGAAAAAGACUCUGUAAAAAAAAACAAAACAAAACAACAAACAAACAAACAAAACUCAGCAAUCUGUGUUUUAACAAGUCUUCCACAUAAUCCUGAUGCACACUGAAGUUUGUGAACCACUGACAUUUAUAAACUGAAUUAUGUCCCUCACCAAAUUCUGUGUUGAAGCCCUAACCCCCUAUGUGACUGUAAUCGGAGAUUACAGAGAUAAUUAAGGUUAAAUGAGGCUGUAAGAGUGGGGCCCUAAUCCCAUAGGCAUAGUGUUCUUAAGAAGAAAGAAGAGGCCAGGCUGGUUGGCUCAUGUCUGUAAUCUCAGCACUUGGAAGGCUGAGGUGGGAGAAUGGCUUGAGGCCAGGAGUUUGAGACCAGCCUGGGCAACAGAGGGAGACUCUUUCUACAAAACUAAAAACUAAAAUCAAAGAAAAAGAGGAAGAGAUAGCAGAGAUUUCUCUUUCCACAUGAAGGAAGGCCAUGAGAGGACACAGUGAGAAGGAGAUGUCUACGAACCAGGAAGAAACCAACCCACCUCUGGCACCUUGAUCUUGAAUUUCCAGCCUCCAGAACUGUGAGAAAAUAAGUUCCUAUUGUUUGAGCCACCCAAUCUGCAGUAUUCUGUUAUGAGAGUGAAUGCACACUAAUAUUUCAACCUUACAUAAUUAUAUCCUUCUGGCUUUAUCAGUUGUGAAAGGUGGACAUCUUCGUCCAAAAUUCCCAAGGCAUGAAUUACAAAGCCUUGUUCUGAGCUAGAAAUGAGGAUGAGGGGUGGGAAACAAGGAACAAAUAAAGGGAGAAAAC